CUUCCCUCUUUCAGUGAUAUGAAGGAUUCUGAUGAUGAAGGGUUUUCUAAUUGUCUUAAUGGUUGGAUCCCAUGUCAGAGAUGCAACCUUUUCGGUGUUGAAAGAUGUAGCAAAGAAAUCCUGAGGUGAGGAGACAUUACGAGCACACUCUAGCAAUGCUCAAGGAAGAGAAGAAAGAACUAGAAUCACCAUUCCACAAUGAGAAAUUGUUGUCUGCCCAGUUAAAGCAAGAACUAGCAUAUGCAAAGGCUUAAAACAAAAACCUGUACGAGGAGCUCCAAUCCGUAUGCGAUCAACUUGUCUUGAGCAGUGAAGAUGUUUCAAAUUAGAGAUAUACUUGAAACAAGAGAACAAUGG